rnacentral:lncRNA from 1 species
CUUCUUCAAAUGCAUUAUUUUCUAUCAUGUACAUAGUUCGAAUAGGUAAGGAAUUUGAUGAUAAUUGGUUCAUUUUUCGCUUUUAUUUCGCAUUUUUAAUUUAUAAUAAUGAAUUUCUGUCAAAAUUCCGAAAUCUGUUUAAACUGCUUUUUGAGACGUGGCUUGUCCACAGCUGUGAUCUUUGGCAUAGAAUUAUUUAUUCCUUGCCACUGUGAAUAUUGCACGCAGUAUAAUUUUCUGAUAGAAACCUUUAAAAGCAUAUAUUUCGCUUUAAUCGAAUUCGUUUUGUGGAUAUGUUUCUUACACGCGUGUUUGCUCUUAAUUCCCGGUAUUAAUCAGCGUAUUCUUUGUUCAGGCAUUUUUGAACUAUUCAGCGG